GCUAAAAUCAGCUCAAAUGAAGACAAACCAUACAAGUCCUGAGACCCUGAGCUGUCAGUUUGACUUAAUGUCAGGAGAUUGCCAAAGUUUCAGCAUCAGCAUCUGUGCUCACCAGCUUCAACAAGAUUUAGAGGAAAGAAAAGAAAGAAAAAAGCAGUUUAUAUUUUCAAAUUCAUAGAAUCAGAGAAUGGUUUGGGUUGGAAGGAACCUCAGAUUCCACCUGGCUGCCAUGGGCAGGGACACCAUCCAGUAGACCAGGUUGUUCAAGGUCCCAUCCAGACCAGCACUGAACACUUCCAGGGGAAGUCUUCACAGGAGAAAUGCCCCAGACCUUUCAUCAUCUUGGUGACCUCCUCUGGAUUUGCUCCAUCAGGUUGCCUCUAUUUCCGAAGACAGGGUGGAAAAGAAAGCACCACCACAGCACAGCAUUUCUUUGGCUGAUAUUCUUUCUCAUGUCAUGAGAAGUCAGGUUUUCCCAAUGAAAAAUGCCUCAAACCCUUCAUGAGCUUAUGGUUAUGGAAAUAGAGCCACAAGAGAACAAUUUGGACUCAAAAUGAUCAAAAUGAAUUCUCUGAUGUAGCUGGCUCUUGAUCCCUUAACUGCUUUGAAAACUUGUAUUAAGGUUUUCGGCUUGUGUAAGAAUGUGAUGGAUGCCAAUGGAAGCUUUUCAGCAUAAAAUUCAUUUUCUACCCAACCCAAAGCCCUGGAAGGAGGAAAUCAGUCACAGAGUCACCAUCAGGAUCUUUUGCAAGAUUGAGAACUAAGAAUUUUGGGCAGUCCCUUCAAGCCGUGAGAUGAUUUACUGGCAAUACCACUUGGAGAAGGAACUGUGGUCACAACCAGAGAAUUCUUGUUAGUCUGCUCCCUGGAAAAUCAUAGAUUGGAACAAUGUUUUCAUAUUGAUUUAAAGGAAUUUCUGCAUAAGAGACAUGGACUAUUUGUUAUGUAAUGAAAAAGUGCACAGGUUCAACAGGAAAUUGAACUACUGGGCAGCUUUUCCAUUGCAAGGGAUGUGUACAAGCCUGGUGCAUUAGUCUGCUGUUGGGAAGGAACAUGUAGCUACAGAAAUGUCUGACAGAUGGGAAGUGCCCGGGGGAUCUGAGUUCUCUUUGGAUUUUCCCCUCUCAUGACCCUCAAGGAACACAGGUGACAAGACCUGUGUGUUCAAGCACUCUACAUAACAUCUGUGAGUGGAGGAGAAGAGGAGAGGGUGGAUUUCACACCAUUCCUUGAGCAGUGCUUUGUCACCCUUGUCAAAGGGCAUUUUGACAAAUUUGGUUCAUGCUAUAAGUUACCAAAUGGGAUGUAGUUCCCAUUUGGUAGCAAAAUAAGAAAAAUGUGGGUUUUCUGCAUGUGAUUUCUCUAGUUGCAGGCCUUGCCUUUCCUUCCAAAAGCUGGCUGCUAAAUCUUUCUUUACUCAUGCUAACACCAUUUAUUAAACGAGGGUUUGAUGAUGCUUGGUAAAGUUCUAAUAUGUUGUUAUGGGGUUUUUCUUUUUCCACUGAACAUCUGACAGCCAUGAUAUGUAUGUUUGAGAAAAUAACUCAGUUUUUAAGUCAGAAUCCCAACUGGGUUUGCAUGUAUGGAUUGUCAAAGGGCAUUAUAGUAUGGGAUGUAGCUCCCAUUUGGAAGCAAAAUAAGAAAAAUGUGAGUUUUCUGCAUGUGAAAGAACAG